AUUGAACGCUGGCGGCAGGCUUAACACAUGUAAGUCGAGCGGGGUGAUGGUGCUUGCACUAUCACUUAGCGGCGGACGGGUGAGUAAUGCUUAGGAAUCUGCCUAUUAGUGGGGGACAACAUCUCGAAAGGGAUGCUAAUACCGCAUACGUCCUACGGGAGAAAGCAGGGGAUCACUUGUGACCUUGCGCUAAUAGAUGAGCCUAAGUCGGAUUAACUAGUUGGUGGGGUAAAGGCCUACCAAGGCGACGAUCUGUAGCGGGUCUGAGAGGAUGAUCCGCCACACGUGGACUGGGACACGGCCCAGACUCCUACGGGAGGCAGCAGUGGGGAAUAUUGGACAAUGGGGGGAACCCUGAUCCAGCCAUGCCGCGUGUGUGAAGAAGGCCUUAUGGUUGUAAAGCACUUUAAGCGAGGAGGAGGCUCUUUUGGUUAAUACCCAAGAUGAGUGGACGUUACUCGCAGAAUAAGCACCGGCUAACUCUGUGCCAGCAGCCGCAGUAA
rnacentral:rRNA from 1 species